CAAAAGAGCAAGUCAGGGAACUAGCUUUGGUUGGGUUCGGUGGUACACAAAGCACAAGGCCUGGGUUGGGGUUAGGAGGAAAUGAGACUUGCGGCGGGUCGGGGCUGAAGAUGUGGCAGCGCCCUGAACCUGGAGAAAGGCUGAAUCCCUUUGGUCAAGGAGAGGGAGAGAGAGGUAAGGGUCUGGUCUUACUUUUUAAGCAGGAAGAAGACUACAAACCACCAUCUACCAUCUGCCAGGCCCUGGAAUUUGAACCACCAUCUUCUGGAGUGACUCAAAUGCAGAGGAAGCCAGGCCUGCUGCUAACGUUUCUGAGAGGCGGCAAGAGUAUAAAUGGAGAUCCACAUAUGUAUAAAUAAAGAGUGUGAAUCAAGCUAACAAACUGUUUAAUAAAAUAUGAUCUACCCUCUUAGCUUGACAAAUCAACUUUUCAAACACCUGGAAGAACAAGUUUGCACUCAGGAUUCUCAGACUCCUCAGAGUUCUGCACUGGGAUGUGGAAGGGCUGUGCAAGCCAGCCCUUGGGUCCCUGAUCCCUGUCUCCUGGCCUGUGCCCGUCUCUUCUCAGCCUGGCUCCAACUCCCAUUGAGAGGAAGUUCUUGUACACAUAUGAUACUGCAGCCCUUAUGUCUAAUAUUUAUCCAUACCUUCUGCAAACAGCCACUGUGUGACCACCCUUGGGCUUCCCAGGGGUCUGCAAACUGACAAUACAGACAAAGGGAACCAAGGCAGAGGCUCACAGACUGUAGAAAUGGGCUUGGGGCCAUCUGGGCAGAGACUUGUGGAAUCCCAGCACGAUCACUCUGGGUGCUGUGUGAAAUGGAUGAAUAGCAAGGAGCUGCAGCCAAGAGCAAAUCAACAGAAGCACCACUCAAAAUGCCUCAGUACCCAUUACAUAAGGAUUCUUGUGAUUAAUUCUUCCCCAAAAUUUAGAGCCAAGAAAAAUCCAGCUCUCCUACUGAGAGUUGUAGAUUAGAGCUUCUGUUUCUAAUCUACAAACAAACAAAUGUGUGCAAUGUCUUUUCAUGACAAUUCCAACUUUAUCAUAAGGUUGUCUACUAAGAAACUAGUAGGCAGGUUUCUCUUGUUGUCUAGACCACCUGAAAGCUCAUAGCUGAGUUUGCACUUAUUUGCAGAGUAAACUGCUCAUUUAUCAAUCUGGCAUCCAAUCACAACUUUUUAGCUAACUGUAUGUUUUCAUAAACACUUUUCUCACACAGUAUAAAUUUUAAAUAAAUAACAAUAGCAAUUAAGUAGUAACAACUCGAGACUGGUAUCUGACUAGUGGUUCUUUCACCAGUGUGUACACUGGAAGUUUUGUUUUGUUUUUUGAUGUUUGUACAUUGUAAUUGCAGGACAGGUAGUAAGAAGAUUUCAAAUUCACAUUAGCUUUGCUACCACUAAAUUAUGGUGACUGUUCCUAAUUUGCAAACAAAUGUAUGCAAUCUCUUUUUAUGAUUAUCCCAACUUUAUCAUAAGGUUGUUAUAUUUUAAGACAUAUGAAAAGAUAUAAAGUAUAAUACAGUGAAUACAUAUAUAUCUAACUCCCAGUUUAAGAAAUAAAACAUUAGCAAAUACAGCUGAAGCUCCAUGAAUUCCCCUCCCAAAUCAUACUCCCUUCCCACCCGCAGAGGGAACCUCUAUUCUGAGCCUGGUGUUUAUCACCACCAAGAAUUAAAAAAAUACUUUUACUAUAUAUACACAAGUAUGUACCCCUUAGAAAUGAGUAGUAGUACUGUUUUGUAUGUCUUUACACUUUAAGUAAAUGGUAUAAGUUAUUUCUUGUUUUUGCUCAAAAUUGUUGAAAUUUAUGCCCUUUGAUUCUAUAGCUGACUUUCACUGUGAGUCAUUCCAUCAUUAUUUCUGUAUUCAUUCUCCUGCUGAAGUACAUUUCAGGUUGUUGCUAUUCCUCUGCUGAUCCCCCUCCCCCAACACACAUGCUUUUAUUAAUAAAUCUGCUGGAACAUUCUUGCAUACAAAAAAAAAAAAAAAAAA
rnacentral:lncRNA from 1 species